rnacentral:rRNA from 1 species
GAAGGGGGCGAGCGUUGUUCGGAUUUACUGGGCGUAAAGGGCGCGCAGGCGGCAGACCAAGUCMGGCGUGAAAGCCCCGGGCUUAACCUGGGAGGUGCGUCUGGGACUGGUAUGCUAGAGUUCGGGAGAGGAGAGUGGAAUUCCCAGUGUAGAGGUGAAAUUCGUAGAUAUUGGGAAGAACMCCGGUGGCGAAGGCGGCUCUCUGGACCGAGACUGACGCUGAGGCGCGAAAGCGUGGGGAGCAAACAGGAUUAGAUACCCUGGUAGUCCACGCUGUAAACGAUGUGUGCUAGACGUUGGGGAGCCUAGCUCUUCGGUGUCGCAGCUAACGCGGUAAGCACACCGCCUGGGGAGUACGGCCGCAAGGUU